AGGGCCCUCGACUCACCUAUAGCCUUGGUGUAGGGCCCCUCCCCUAUAGCCUUGGUGUAGGGCCCCUCCCCUAUAGCCUUGGUGCAGGGCCCCUGACUCACCUAUAGUCAUGGUGAGGGCCCCUUGGAUAUAGGAUUAGGGUUAUUAUAGUUAGGAUUUAUUUUUCCAUGACAAAAAGGGUAUGAUGUUAAUAAAACAUUUGAUUUAUAUAAAGCCUUGCAAGACCCGAGGGUGUUUCACACAGAGCAGACAAAACAAACAAGCAAACUCAAUGUCCUCAGGAAACGGUUCAACCUCAUAUUCAAAAGCGCCUUAUUUAAAGAGGAGCCUGUAAGCCACUUCUGAACACGAUACCCCCUGCUGAGCACGGGAACAGGGUUGGGGAGCGAGGACCCAGACUUAAACCAGCUUCAACAAACUACCUUCAGAAAUGUAAUUACAAGCUGGAACUUCAAGAGUUUUAAAAUACCAACAUUCCCAUGAUAAACUUUGAAGUGAUUUGAGCAGCAGCUGGAAGACAGACAACUCAUUGUAAACCGGGGAUACGCUGCAGGGUUCACAACUCAGUGAUUUCAAGGGCUAACAGGGAUACUCUUGACCAAUGGGAAGGAAGAAUAGCUAUAUUGAUAGAUAGGAAAUGUACUCGUCCUUCUGUUCUGUUUCCCUAUUGGUCGAUUUUUGAGAAUGAGAUCGGUCAAGGCUGCACUUCAACAUUAGAGAGAGCAGUGCUCCAGUUUAUUAGUGCCACUACUGCUAGGUGAGGUCUAGUUUACUACUAGGCUAUUCUAGUUAACUAGUACUACUACUGCUAGGAGUGGUCUAGUUUAAUACUCUGGUUAUUCUAGUCAACUAGUACUACUGCUAGUUGUGGUCUAGUUUACUACUAGGUUAUUCUAGUGAACUAGUACUACUACUGCUAGGAGUGGUCUAGUUUAAUACUCUGGUUAUUCUAGUCAACUAGUACUACUGCUAGUUGUGGUCUAGUUUACUGCUAGGUUAUUCUAGUUUACUGGUACUAUUACUGCUAGGUGAGGUCUAGUUUAGUACUAGGGUUAUUCUAGUUUACUAGUACUGCUACGGCUAGGAUAAGUCUAGUUUACUAGUGCUACUACUGGUAGGAUUAGUCUUGAUAACUAGUUAUACUACUUCUAGGGUGAUUCUACUGUACUGCUAGGAUUAUUCUAGUUUGUACUACUGCUUCAACACAUUGUACACACAUGUUUUGUGAUUGCACAGCUUUUUGACUGCUGUGCAGAGGGUUAAACCUCGGACCAGAAUCAAUACGUAACUGAACCAACAGUAUGUUAGCCGUUUGGCAGGG
ensembl:lncRNA